CAGUUAGGCUGNGGAAAUAAACCGUCGUUCCAUAAGGCUGAGCUGUGAUGGCGAGCGAAAUAGUAGCGAAGUUCCUGAUUCCACCGCCANGAAAAGCCUCUAGCGAGGUGGUGCCCGUACCGCAAACCUGACACAGGUAGGCGGAGAGAAUCCUAAGGUGAUCGAGAGAACUCUCGUUGAGGAACUCGGCAAAAUGACCCCGUAACUUCGGGAGAAGGGGUGCUCUGUUAGGUGCAAGCAGAAGCCGCAGUGAAUAGGCCCAGGCGACUGUUUAGCAAAACACAGGUCUCUGNCGAAGCCGUAAGGCGAAGUAUAAGGCUGACGCCUGCCCGGUGCUGGAAGGUUAAGAGAGCCUUAGCGUAAGCGAAGGUGCAAUUGAAGCCCCAGUAAACGGCGGCCGUAACGAUAACGGUCCUAAGGUGGCGAAAUUCCUUGUGGUAAGUUCCGACCCACGAAAGGCGCAACGAUCUGGGCACUGUCUCAACGAGAGACUCGGUGAAAUUAUAGUACCUGUGAAGAUGCAGGUUACCCGCGACAGGACGGAAAGACCCGUGGAGCUUUACUGCAGCCUGAUAUUGAAUGUUGGUACAGCUUGUACAGGAUAGGUAGGANCCUUGAAACCGGAGCGCCAGCUUCGGUGGAGCAUCGGUGGGAUACUACCCUGGCUGUAUUGACCUUCUAACCCGCCGCCCUUAUCGGGCGGGGAGACAAUCAGGUGGGCAGUUUGACUGGGGCAGUCGCCUCUAAAAGGUAACGGAGGCGCCCAAAGGUUCCCUCAGAAUGGUUGGAAAUCAUUCGCAGAGUGUAAAGGCACAAGGAGCUUGACUGCGAGACNAAGUCGAGCAGGGACGAAAGUCGGGCUUAGUGAUCCGGUGGUUCCGCAUGGANGGCCAUCGCUCAACGGAUAAAAAGCUACCCGCGGAUAUGAGCUUNUCCCCAAGAGUCCCAUCGACGGGAGGUUUGGCCUCGAUGUCGGCUCAUCGCAUCCUGGGGCUGUAGUCGGUCCCAAGGGUUGGAGCUGUUCGCCCAUUAAAGCGGUACGCGAGCUGGGUUCAGAAACGUCGUGGAGACAGUUCGGUCCCUAUCCGUCGCGGGCGCAGNGAAAUUUGAGAGAGCUGUCCUUAGUACGAGAGGACCGGGAUGGACGCACCGCUGGUGUACCAGUUGUUCUGCCGGGCAUCGCUGGGUAGCUAUGUGCGGACGGGAUAAGUGCUGAAAGCAUCUAAGCAUGAAGCCCCCUCAAGAUGAGAUUUCCCAUUCCGCGAGGAAGUAAGAUCCCUGAAAGAUGAUCGGGUUGAUAGGUCUGAGGUGGAGGUNCUGGCGACACAUGGAGNANCUGACAGAUACUAAUCGAUC
rnacentral:rRNA from 1 species